rnacentral:rRNA from 1 species
UACGUAGGCAGCGAGCGUUGUUCGGAGUUACUGGGCGUAAAGCGUGCGUAGGCGGUGUCUUAAGUUUGUUGUGAAAUCUCCCGGCUUAACCGGGAGGGUGCGGCGAAUACUGAGAUGCUGGAGUGCGGGAGAGGUAAGCGGAAUUCCUGGUGUAGCGGUGAAAUGCGUAGAUAUCAGGAGGAACACCUGCGGUGUAGACGGCUUACUGGACCGUAACUGACGCUGAGGAGCGAAAGCGUGGGGAGCGAACAGG